CGGGUCGCCUGGCGGUUGAGGUUGCAGAACCGCGGAGGGCGGAGGAAGGCGGGAUUUGCAACCCCUGUUCACGCCUCCUCCUGAGGAACUCACUUAUAAUUGUUUAUUAAAGGCGUUAUUCCAGCCAUCACCACACUGGAUCCUCUCAAGGAAGCGGGCGGGGAUUAUUAUUACCAUUUAACGAACAGGAAACUCAGCAUCAGCGAAAGAUGAGACCGGCUUUUACUUUUACUGCUGGUGGAGAAGGGGGAAGAGUAGGCCAGAAACAUCUUGCAUAACUGCAGUGCAAUAUCAAAACCAGGAACUUGACAUUGAUGCUAUCUACAGAACUUAUUCAAAUUCCACCAGCAAGGAGACAAUCUGAAAGACUUAUUGGUAGAAUUUGGGUUGAACAGAUGUGCUCCGUAGGUGUCCUAGUCCUGAAGCCCAGAGUGAGUCAAAAGUACCGGAGUUGGAGAUUCCUGCUGCAAACAUUUCCAUCCCCACCUGGGAGCCUGCCUUCCUGACAGUCCAGGCCCUUCAGCAGUAAGAAGGACCCUCUGAGAAGAGCGGUCGCUGCAGAGGCUGGAUGACAGACAGACACACCCACAAUCUUGGGGGAGGAAAUGGAUCCAGUCAGAGAGCAAAUGGAGCGGCCUCAUUUCCUUCCCUUUUGUCCUUUGCGGGAAACUGACAUUGACUCAGCUGUGAGCAGUGGGGUAGGGAGGGGUGUGAGGGGGUGUCUAGAGCAUCCUGAGGCUUGCCCUCCCUAUCUUGCUACUUAGGACUGUGGGCCCAGCCAUAAACCACUUUCUCCACCAUCUCGAGAGAAAGUUACACUUUAAAAAAAUUUUAUCUAUAUA